rnacentral:rRNA from 1 species
UACGUAGGGGGCAAGCGUUGUCCGGAAUCAUUGGGCGUAAAGCGCGUGUAGGCGGCCAGGUAAGUCCGUUCUGAAAGCCCCGGGGCUCAACCCCGGGAGGCGGAUGGAUACUGCUUGGCUCGAGUCCGGAAGAGGCGAGUGGAAUUCCCGGUGUAGCGGUGAAAUGCGCAGAUAUCGGGAGGAACACCAAUGGCGAAGGCAGCUCGCUGGGACGGUA